rnacentral:rRNA from 1 species
UUGACCUCGGAUCAGGUAGGGAUACCCGCUGAACUUAANCAUAU